UGAGGAAUAUUGGUCAAUGGGCGUAAGCCUGAACCAGCCAAGUAGCGUGCAGGAAGACGGCCCUACGGGUUGUAAACUGCUUUUAUGCGGGGAUAAAGUGCAAUACGUGUAUUGCUUUGCAGGUACCGCAUGAAUAAGGACCGGCUAAUUCCGUGCCAGCAGCCGCGGUAAUACGGAAGGUCCGGCGUAUCGAUUAUGGUUAAGGAGCGCAGGCCGCCCUUAAGCGUGUUGUGAAAUGCCGCGGCUCAACCGUGGCACUGCAGCGCGAACUGGGGGGCUUGAGUGCGCCGGAGGUAGGCGGAAUUCGUGGUGUAGCGGUGAAAUGCUUAGAUAUCACGAAGAACUCCGAUUGCGAAGGCAGCCUACCGUAGCGUUACUGACGCUGAGGCUCGAAGGUGCGGGUAUCGAACAGGAUUAGAUACC
rnacentral:rRNA from 1 species